GACGAACGCUGGCGGCGUGCUUAACACAUGCAAGUCGAACGGAAAGGCCCUGCUUUUGUGGGGUGCUCGAGUGGCGAACGGGUGAGUAACACGUGAGUAACCUGCCCUUGACUUUGGGAUAACUUCAGGAAACUGGGGCUAAUACCGGAUAGGAGCUCCUGCUGCAUGGUGGGGGUUGGAAAGUUUCGGCGGUUGGGGAUGGACUCGCGGCUUAUCAGCUUGUUGGUGGGGUAGUGGCUUACCAAGGCUUUGACGGGUAGCCGGCCUGAGAGGGUGACCGGCAAAAUGGGGACGGAGAUCCGGCCAAGCCCCUACGGGAGGCAGCAGUGGGGAAUAUUGCACAAUGGGCGGAAGCCUGAUGCAGCAACGCCGCGUGCGGGAUGACGGCCUUCGGGUUGUAAACCGCUUUCGCCUGUGACGAAGCGUGAGUGACGGUAAUGGGUAAAGAAGCACCGGCUAACUACGUG
rnacentral:rRNA from 1 species